ensembl:lncRNA
UACAGAUGAAUGUGCUGAAACAUUAAUUAACCGAAGAAAUGUUGUAAAGAAGAGUGGGGCCAUAAAAUUAUGUGAGAGACUGAUAACUCUUAAAGGAAACAUUUCCUUCAAUAAUUCUUGCUAAAGGUGGUUCUACACGUUAUAUGUCCCCCCCACAUGGUUUCUGGGAAUUUAUAUAUAUGUAUAAUUUUUACAUCUUUGCAGGCCGCAGGAGGAAUCUUUGGGCUGAUAUUAACAUUUCCUGAUCUGAUUGAUAACUGUGAAGAACUGAUUAAAAACAAACAUCAGACUGAAGCUAGCACAUAUCUGAAGACAAAAGCUAAAGAAAUCCUUGAGACUGUGAAGAAAUUAAAAAAGCCAUUGAAUGAAUUGCAAGAGAUGCUCAAUCAAAUCCCUGAAAUGGAGUGUCACAUUGAUUUGGCUCAGGAGAUGUUUGGAUCUCAAAUAUACACACGAGGCACCAUCUGUAUGGAGUAUACACAGAGCCAAAAGCAGGACACGAAGACACAGGAGUUUAUUCUCCUAUGCACAAAAGACAUAGGAGUAACUAAGAAUUGCUCCACAGGACAACACAAAUCGGGUGACAACAAGAACAAAAGACGGAAGAAGGAGGCUACUUCAACUAUAGACAGGAGUCUUAACCAGGAGAGGAAACUUGCUUUUCCGAGGAAACCACCACACAAGUCUAAAACAAAAGUAAAGAAAUUUCAGUUCCGCCUUCCUAAAAUAAUGAUGUCUAAUGUGCGUUCUCUUCCGAACAAAAUAGAGGAGCUCCAAGAAAUGAUGGAAGAUGUGGAAAACAUUAAUUCCGAUCUGAUGUCUUCACAGAGACAUGGUUGAACAGGAACUCGCCCAGCAUUAGCUUCGAGGGAUAUAGGUCUUACCGGGUUGAUCGUGAUGCACGGCUAACUCAGAAACGUAGAGGAGGGGGAUUGAUGGUGCUUGUGAAUGAGGCCUGGGCGACUGAUGUGGAGGUGGAAAACAUCAUUAUAACUCCUGAUUAUGAGUUAAUGGUCGUGUCCAUUAGACCACAUGACCACCCUGAGGAUGCGCCACCACUUACCUUCAUCCAUGUGUAUAUCCCUCCAGGAACUAAUAUGAGUCAAGCCGCCAGAGACAUCGCUGGUGUUUACUAUGAUGUUCUGGAGCAGUAUCCUGGUGGUCCUGUUUUCUUGUUGGGUGAUUUCAACCGCUGUGACAUCACUCAUCUCUUAGACCUGGAGCAAUACGUCACAUGCCCAACCAGAUACAGUAAACACCCUGGAUCAGUGCUAUGGGAAUGUGCCAGGGGCUUAUAGAUCUGAAUGCAGUCCCCCGCUUGGCCGGUCAGACCACAAUGUCAUUCAUUUGAUUCCUAAAAAGAAGUCGGGAUGGAAGUGACCCUUCCAAAGAUGAGAAUUGUACACAUGACAGUACCAAAUCCAGAAAGCAAUGAGAGGCUGUGCAGCAGUUCUCUGUUGUUGUCAUGUAGCACCAGGGUUUAGUUCCACUGUGUGCUGUGCUACUAUAUGGUUUGUUUUGUCCUAUAGAUGUAGGACAGUCUAACUACUUUCAAUUAACUUACUGAGUAUAAAAAGUCAUUGAGAAAGAAGGCGACAGGAUUGUAGUCAGAAAUGGUCUGAAAACUGGCACAACAAUGAGGAACAACAUGUGGAAAACGAAUUCUCCUUUGAAUGAAGAAAAUUAAAUGCUUGAUAUACUUUUACCCUGUUAGCCCACACCAGAAAGUGGGCAUCCUGAACGCCUCUCAACUCGCACGUGUCAGUGUUUAUGAAUAGAUAAAAUGAAAUGGGCCAAAUUUAAUCUCGACAAACUAUGUAUCAUUAUAAAGAUAUAAGCCUCAAGCAUUGACGACAGAUCGCUGUUUUUCAAUGGAAAGCUUAUAAAGACUGUAUUUGCUACAUUUGUGUAAGCAGUACACAUACAAACAUGAACAUUAGAAACGCUGUACAUACCAGAUCCGUCGUAAUAACGAGUCAUAAACACAUCAAGAGCUGUAAACCCCGGAUAAGUUAGAAAGAUAAGGGUCCACUGAACGACAUCUCAUGAAGCACGUUUAGUCCAACGAAGCAAUAACGUUGUAAUAUGGAUCAUAAUUCCUUUGUUUACGUUUCAUUUCUUCAGCGACAGAAUUGUUUGUGUCCGUUAUGGAAUAACUCACGGUCAGAAACUGCGUCUUGGUAGUAAAAACACGACAUGGUUUUGCAGCGUACAGUGUCACAAACAGAAUGAGGCGAUCCACCGGAAAAAAGAAUGAAUUAAAGAUAUGCGAAAGAUUGUUUAUUUGAAUUUGGCGCUCCCUCGUGACGCGCUCUGACGCACCUGUCAGCUGAUGGAGGCGGAACUUACAGCGAUCGCUUUUUCCUUUCUUUCUUUUAUUUUUAAACAGUUUUUAUAUAUGUGAGAGUGUGUUUUAUGUUGAAUGUGAAUGUAUCUGCAUGAUUACCAUCUGUUUGAGUGCAAAUCAGCCCAAAUCAGCUCGCUAUUACAGUAUGAUCACGGCUAUCAAAGUGAACGCGUCUAUAUGAAUAGAGAGAGUGGAUUAUUUACUUUGUGUUAUUACCAUCUGUAUAAGUGGCCAUCAGCAAUUAUUUGCAUCGUAAUUCAUUGUAAAUGCUGCAUUUCUAGCAAUCUCACGAUUUUCUGUAAUUGGCAAACAAAGUUAAAUCUUUUUUUUAUUUUUCUUAUUAUUCUUAUUUUUCUUACUCAAAUUAUUCUUAUUUUAAUUUUCUAGUGCUCAAAUAAAUCAUUUAUAUGAUGUCUAAGUUUCUGUCUAGUGUUUUAUAAUUGAAAAAACUAUGCAGUGGUAUGUUUACUGACUAAAUAAUUUGUAGAAGCCUUCAAUACUAUUGGGAAAUAUAUUUUCUUAUAUUUGUGGGGUGGGGGAUGUAGACAUAGUCUCAUAAAAAUAUUUGAAGGAGUCUAAUUUUUCAUGAUAUCUUAUUCAGAUUUGAAAUAGAAACUCAUAAGACAUUUGGCUUUGCUUUUCUAGGUUACUCCAGGACUCAUUUCAUGUAUUUUUAUAUCAAAUAAAAAAAAAGAUAUUUAAGUGUGGUAAAAAAAAAAAUGUCACUUCAAAACGCACUUCAGUGUCUAUAACUUUUAAUAUUUUUGAGCAUUAUCAAAUCUGGUUGAUAAAAAGUAAAGCUCAAAGAGUCUUCUUUCUAAAGACACCACAAUUAUGUUUGUAACACACUGAAGUAGUUAAACUGUUACAAUUAUAAGUUAGGUAGAGCACUUUCAGCUGUGAGUCCCAUAAUGGGUUGUCAGGUUAACAGGUUAAUCAAACAAAUAGCUUUGCUAAUUAUAGUAAUACUGCUAAAAAAAGAUAUUUCCGAUCACUGAAGUUUACCAUUAUUACCAAAAUUCACCUUUAAAUGUGUUGAGGAGCAAGACUCAUCAGAUCAGAAAAUGUACACGGUGCAGUCUGGCUGUGAAUGGUACCAUUAAUUACUCACUGAAGAGGAAAACAGCAGAGCAUUCAGAAGAUGUUGGGUAAUAGAAGAGCACUGAAGAUAAAACCAGGAUGUAAGUUCAAGGAAAUGCCUUGUAUACUAAGUCUCCAGGAAGAAUGGUUGAGUGGGUUCACUGUAAACUAUUCGGCUUCUUGAACUCUCUCAGUCUACUUUUAUUUGAUACUGAUAAACACACACCACUUAGUAUCUAACUUUGAGUGCAAUCCUAAUCACAAACCAUCAUAGCUUGUUAAGUAAAGCAUUGAGCAUACUGUGUGUGUGUAUAUAUAUAUAUAUAUAUAUAUAUAUAUAUAUAUAUAUAUAUAUAUAUACACAGUAAUAUGCAUAUAAUAUUAUUAAGCAAUUGCAACUUUAUUUUUUUAUUUUUUAACUUACUAAAGUGUAAUAUUAACAUUCAAUAUUAUAGUAAUGUAGUAACAAAUGAUUCUCAUGUAUAUUUUACAGCAUUUUUUUUUCUUGAGAAAAUUUGGCAUGUACUGUACCCAAAAAAAAAACCUAAAUAAUCUACAUUGCUUCAAAUCAGUAAUCAAAUCGAAUCACAAGAUUGUGAAUGAGAAUCCAAAUGAAUUGUUAGAAUGAGAUUUUAAGCUGUUUUGUUGUUGUUGCUGUUGUUAUUCAGUUGUUCAGUUCAGUACGAAUCAUUUCAUCAUAACUAGAUGCGUUGUAAAUCAGCGAGUCAUUGUGCAGCGUGGAGAAUUUAAUUGAUUAUCACCAAUCUUUCAUGAGAUCGCGAGUGAUUUAAAUGUGAAUAUGCAUUAAUUCAGCUCACUCACUAAAAAAAUAAAAAUAAAACAACACAGAUUCAGUAUUCCUCAAAAUGAAGAAAUAUAAUCCAUAAUACUUGGAAAAUGACGCAAACCUGCAAUAAUUAAAUGUUAAACAACACAAAUAUCCUUUAUGUAUUUAAUCCCAUUCUAUUAACCAAUGUCUUUGCUUCUGACCUUGGGUGAUCCAGUUCCACCAUACUAAAACAACAGAUAAACAUACUCUGAACUGGUUGUGUUAUCAGAUCUGGGAAGAGUGCCAAAUAUGGGAGUGAGAAAACAACACACUGAGACUCUUUGCUGCAUACCACCAACAUUAACCCUGAAGCAGAUGAACAAGAUGCAGUUUAGCGUUUCACCAAGAAAUGACUAUUUUAAUCAACUUUAUCAAUACUAGUUUCAGUCUAACAUCAGGUGGGUCAGGUUGCAGGCCCAGACAGGGAUGAAGGACAUAACACCAGGCCUGAUCAGAGUGCUGAUGUCAGGCAAACAGCAGACACAGAAAGACUCAGUUGUAUUUUAUUGUUUUAGUUUAUAGCACUUUUUACCAUGCAAAUUGUGUCAAAGCAGCACAGUAGGUUUUUAUUGGUUUAUAUGAUUUCUACCACUUAUGCAUUAUUCUUUCUUCUUCCUAUAUUCAAUUAUCUCUUUUAAUAUAUUAUUCUAUUGUAUUUUAAUAGUGUUCAUUUUUGAGUAUUCUUAUUCUUAUAUUAUUUGCCCGGCUGCAAUGACCCAGCAUUGACUUUACAGGCCGCGUUUAAGCACAAAGGCCCUAAUGAAACAAAUUUCAGACAAACUAAAUAGCAAAAAAAAAAACAAAAAAAAAAAACAGCAAAGAAACUGAUUCGAACUAAUUAACUGAAUAGCAAUAUUUUUUUUCUUAUUUCACUGAAUAUUUUUAUUUCAUUACCUUCUUUUUUAAACAUGUGUACCUUAACUCUCAUUAAAAAGGCUUUCUUUAGGCUCG